UUUUUUUUUUUUUUUUAUUCGCUCUCAUGCUUCGUCACAUCCUGAGGAAGGUCUUCGUCUUCAUUCAUUCAUUGACCAUACUCAAGAGAAAAAGGCACACAACUGCAACUGAAUCAUGGUGGUGACGACUUGGAGGAAAUUGAAAAGAAGAAGAAGAAGAAGAGUUAGAAUAAUUGUUCCUCCUCAUCAC
rnacentral:ribozyme from 14 species